UUUGAAUGAUGAUGGAUCUAUAAAAAAUAUUCUCAUCAAUUUAUUCUCAUCAAUCUAUAAAAAAUAUUUUCUAGUUUCUAAAAAUGCUGAAUUUUUUUUGUCAAACUUUGUUUGACCUUGUUGAACUUAGGAUGAUCAAUUUGGACUUUUCAAAGUUGAUUUGAAAUGGAUUUGAAGUUUGGCCUUUAAUUUUUUAUUUUAAUUCAAGUAUUAUUUUAAUUUUGAAAAAAUACCAAAAUGUUUA
rnacentral:lncRNA from 1 species